AAUGAACGCUGGCGGCAUGCCUAACACAUGCAAGUUGAACGAGACCUUCGGGUCUAGUGGCGCACGGGUGCGUAACGCGUGGGAAUCUGCCCUUGGGUUCGGAAUAACUCGCCGAAAGGCGUGCUAAUACCGGAUGAUGACGUAAGUCCAAAGAUUUAUCGCCCAAGGAUGAGCCCGCGUAGGAUUAGCUAGUUGGUGGGGUAAAGGCCCACCAAGGCGACGAUCCUUAGCUGGUCUGAGAGGAUGAUCACCCACACUGGGACUGAGACACGGCCCAGACUCCUACGGGAGGCAGCAGUGGGGAAUAUUGGACAAUGGGCGAAAGCCUGAUCCAGCAAUGCCGCGUGAGUGAUGAAGGCCUUAGGGUUGUAAAGCUCUUUUACCCGGGAUGAUAAUGACAGUACCGGGAGAAUAAGCCCCGGCUAACUCCGUGCCAGCCGCCGCCGUAA
rnacentral:rRNA from 1 species